UAAAACCUCUGUCUACCACCCUCAGACAGAUGGACUCGUGGAAAGGUUCAAUCAAACCCUCAAGCACAUGCUGCGCAAAGUUGUAGAGGUGGAUGGUAAGAAUUGGGACCAGCUGCUACCUCAUGUCCUUUUCUCCAUACGUGAAGUUCCCCAGGGUUCCACUGGAUUUUCACCAUUCGAACUAUUGUACGGACGGAGACCCCGGGGCAUGCUGGAUGUGGCCAAGGAAGCCUGGGAGCAGCAGCCAUCCCCCCAGCGCAGUGUCGUGGAGCACGUGGAGCAGAUGCACCACCGAAUGACCCAGAGUCUACCGCCAGUGAAAAUGGGCGAUCAGCUGUCGUCCAGACAGGUACAGGCCCUCGGAGAACUGCUCGCCAGGAGCAAAGAUGUCUUCUCUGAGACCCCAGGGAGGACAACAGUCAUCGCCCAUGACAUUGAAACCGAGCCGGGAAAGACGGUAAGACUUCGACCGUAUCGAAUCCCGGAGGCCAGACGAGAAGCCAUCAGAGAGGAGGUGAGGAAAAUGCUUGACCUUGGGGUCGUGGAAGAGUCCCACAGUGCCUGGUCCAGUCCUAUAGUCCUUGUUGGGAAGCCCGAUGGUAGCAUUAGGUUCUGCAAUGACUAUAGAAAACUGAAUGAGAUCUCUCUAUUCAACACUUAUCCUAUGCCCCGUGUGGAUGAG
ensembl:lncRNA